rnacentral:rRNA from 1 species
AUUGAACGCUGGCGGCAGGCUUAACACAUGCAAGUCGAGCGGGGGAAGGUAGCUUGCUACCGGGCCUAGCGGCGGACGGGUGAGUAAUGCUUAGGAAUCUGCCUAUUAGUGGGGGACAACAUCUCGAAAGGGAUGCUAAUACCGCAUACGUCCUACGGGAGAAAGCAGGGGAUCUUCGGACCUUGCGCUAAUAGAUGAGCCUAAGUCGGAUUAGCUAGUUGGUGGGGUAAAGGCCUACCAAGGCGACGAUCUGUAGCGGGUCUGAGAGGAUGAUCCGCCACACUGGGACGGAGGCACGGCCCAGACUCCUACGGGAGGCAGCAGUGGGGAAUAUUGGACAAUGGGGGGAACCCUGAUCCAGCCAUGCCGCGUGUGUGAAGAAGGCCUUAUGGUUGUAAAGCACUUUAAGCGAGGAGGAGGCUACUUUAGUUAAUACCUAGAGAUAGUGGACGUUACUCGCAGAAUAAGCACCGGCUAACUCUGUGCCAGCAGCCGCGGUAA